rnacentral:rRNA from 1 species
GGUCAGGACGAACGCUGGCGGCGUGCUUAACACAUGCAAGUCGAACGGGAGUAUUGAAGAAGCUUGCUUAGAGAUACUUUAGUGGCGGACGGGUGAGUAACGCGUGAGGAGCUGUCCUAUGCAGGGGGACAACAGCUGGAAACGGCUGCUAAUACCCCAUAAGCCGAGAGGUAAAAGGAUCAAUCCGGCAGAGGAGGUACUCGCGUCCUAUCAGCUAGUAGGUGAGGUAACGGCUCACCUAGGCGAAGACGGGUAGCCGGCCUGAGAGGGCGAACGGCCACACUGGAACUGAGAUACGGUCCAGACUCCUACGGGAGGCAGCAGUGGGGAAUAUUGGGCAAUGGGGGAAACCCUGACCCAGCGACGCCGCGUGGGUGAAGAAAUCCUUCGGGAUGUAAAGCCCUGUUGUAUGGGAAGAGCGGAAGACGGUACCAUACGAGGAAGCCCCGGCAAACUACGUGCCAGCAGCCGC